CGUCUUCAAGGUUCUGAUCCCAAAAAGGAGAUUCAACAAGCUUCAAAUCCUCUGGGAGACCUCUUUGGCGUAAUCAUCAGACAGAGAUCAAUUUCAACAAGAUGAGGAUUUAACUAUUUUAAUUCAAUCUGGAGAGGGCGUCAUAUCGCUGAAGUCCAUAUAAAUGGGUUGGCUCAAGUGCCUAGAUUCCCCAUUCGUUCUCUUUCGCGCACAAAAUCAGAGGCCUUGAUUUCUUACCCCUGUUCGCAAAACGCAUCUGUCAGAGCAUUUUGUGAGGAACCCGGAAUUGGUCAUGAGAAACCAUUCCUUCAAACCAAUUGUUGGACAUAAUUUUGAAGCAAAGCAUUGCAGGCGGUGUUCGAACCAUUGCUUUACAGAAGUGGAGUAACAUCUUAGCUUUGGUGCUGCACAAAGAUUCCUCCAGAGCAGUUUCUUCACUCUGACGCACCGCGAUACAGGCAUCAAAAACAAGUGCAGUGCACCCUCUAGCUCGGACCUUGCUUCCGCCACCCAUACGCAGGACGCACCGCAGUAUAGGCAUCGAAAGAAGGCCGAAAACACCGGUGAGCCGUUUCCCUUGCCGAAAUCUCUUCUCCUCCUUCAUCUCUGUGAACAUGCUUCUUUUUUGUCUCCUUGGACCUGCACUGUUUGUUAACACAGAGGCAAAUGGAGGUGUAUUUGGUUGUUUUGUUUUCUGAUUUUGGUGGGCAACAAUGAGGGAUUUGAGGCUUUGUGAGUUGUGAUGGUGUUGUUGGCAUAUUUGGCCGGAGUGGUUUAUUUGGGGAACGGAAGGCUUGUUUCUGGUGCUUAGAAGCAGAGGCAAGUCUGCACUUCAGCAACGAUGAAAGGAAAUAGUGAGAAAAGACCAUGGAAUCAGCAGGAUACCUGACUUUAAAGCUCCUCGCCGGGUCGUAAUCUCCAGCCUUGUGCUCUUUAUAUAGGAGGCAAUGAAGACUCUAGAGGGCUGGAUAAGCCUUCAUUUGAAAUUCAAAUUUCGCGAAACUCACGAAGAUAAGCUGACCAGAGACCUCAUCUUUGACACCGAGAUUGAACUCGGACGCACUCUGCUACUUCAUUCUUAUCUCAAAUUGAGAUAUUUGAGUUAAAAUUUGAAUGCCUCCCUUUGUUUCUGUUUUGUAGUAUCCACGUUAGAAGUAGGUCAACAUUCAACUUCUUGUUUGAAUAUGAAUAAGAUAAAUGUAACUAAAGCAAUUUUUUUAAUUGCUGCCACUAUUUUUCUUC